CGCGAAGAACCUUACCAGGGCUUGACAUGUCCGGAAUCCCGGUUGAAAGCUGGGAGUGCCUUCGGGAGCCGGAACACAGCUGGUGCAUGGCUGUCGUCAGCUCGUGUCGUGAGAUGUUGGGUUAAGUCCCGCAACGAGCGCAACCCUCGUCUUUAGUUGCCAGCAUUAAGUUGGGCACUCUAGAGAGACUGCCGGUGACAAACCGGAGGAAGGUGGGGAUGACGUCAAGUCAGCAUGCCCCUUACGCUCUGGGCGACACACGUACUACAAUGGUCGGGACAGAGGGCAGCGAACCUGCGAAGGCAAGCUAAUCCCAGCAAACUCGGCCUCAGUUCAGAUCGCAGGCUGCAACUCGCCUGCGUGAAGGAGGAAUCGCUAGUAAUCGCCGGUCAGAAUACGGCGGUGAAUCCGUUCCCGGGCCUUGUACACACCGCCCGUCACACCAUGGAAGCUGGCCACGCCCGAAGUCGUUACCCUAACCUUUCGGGGAAGGGGACGCCGAAGGCAGGGUUGGUGACUGGGGUG
rnacentral:rRNA from 1 species